AUUGAACGCUGGCGGCAUGCCUUACACAUGCAAGUCGAACGGCAGCACGGGGCAACCUGGUGGCGAGUGGCGAACGGGCGAGUGAUGCAUCGGAACGUACCUUUCAGUGGGGGAUAACGUAGCGAAAGUUACGCUAAUACCGCAUAUUCUGUGAGCAGGAAAGCAGGGGAUCGCAAGACCUUGCGCUGAUUGAGCGGCCGAUGUCAGAUUAGCUAGUUGGUGAGGUAAAGGCUCACCAAGGCGACGAUCUGUAGCGGGUCUGAGAGGAUGAUCCGCCACACUGGAACUGAGAAACGGUCCAGACUCCUACGGGAGGCAGCAGUGGGGAAUUUUGGACAAUGGGGGCAACCCUGAUCCAGCCAUGCCGCGUGAGUGAAGAAGGCCUUCGGGUUGUAAAGCCCUUUCGGCCGGGAAGAAAUCGCACGGGCUAAUACCCUGUGUGGAUGACGGUACCGGAAUAAGAAGCACCGGCUAACUACGUGCCAGCCGCCGCUGUAAUAC
rnacentral:rRNA from 1 species